rnacentral:rRNA from 1 species
UACGGAGGGUGCGAGCGUUGUCCGGAAUCACUGGGCGUAAAGGGCGCGUAGGCGGCCUGAUAAGUAGGGGGUGAAAUCCUGCGGCUUAACCGCAGGGCUGCCUUCUAAACUGUCGGGCUGGAGCACAGUAGAGGCAGGUGGAAUUCCCGGUGUAGCGGUGGAAUGCGUAGAGAUCGGGAAGAACAUCGGUGGCGAAGGCGGCCUGCUGGGCUGUUGCUGACGCUGAGGCGCGACAGCGGUGGGGAGCAAACAGG